rnacentral:rRNA from 1 species
CCACACCUGGGAUACUGUCCCUUUAGAAAGCCAGAUCUCAGAAGCUAAGCAGGGCUGGGCCUGUUUAGUACUGGAUGUGAGACUGCUGGGAAUACCAGGUGCCACAGUGGGGU